rnacentral:rRNA from 1 species
UACGGAGGGUGCGAGCGUUGUCCGGAAUCACUGGGCGUAAAGGGCGCGUAGGUGGCCCGUGGAAGUCUGCGGUGAAAGCCCGGCGCUCAACGCCGGGUCGGCCGUGGAUACUCUCGGGCUCGAGCUUACUAGAGGCAGAUGGAAUUCCGGGUGUAGCGGUGGAAUGCGUAGAGAUCCGGAAGAACCCCGGUGGCGAAGGCGGUCUGCUGGGGUAAUGCUGACACUGAUGCGCGACAGCGUGGGGAGCAAACAGG